GUUUUUAUAGUGUAACUGUAACAUAUAAUUUUUUCAAGAUUAAGAUAAGCAUAAAUUUAAAAACA
rnacentral:tRNA from 1 species